AUCGCAGCUGCGACCUCCUCUUUUAAUUUUGAUCCCGACACUUGGGUGACGCUUGUCCUUGCGGCCAGCUUGCUCCUGUUCCUCGCAAAAUGAGGCUUCUGCUCCAUGAGUCACGCUUCACCUCUCGCUGUGCCACAGGUUUAUUCUUCGUUUCGGGCCCCGGUGUCAUUAACCUGGGGACGCCUUUCUUUUUUUAAGCUGCUGCCAUCGUUUUCAAACAAGAUGCAAAUGGCGUUUUGCUCGCAAUCGCGGCAUGUUUCUAUUGCUAGGGCAGGGCAGGGGACUUUGCUGGCAGCGGGCUUUCAGGCUCUGCAAGACGAUCUAAAUAAAAGAAGUUGCGUGUCUGUUAACAGUGAGGGCCCAGCGGACCUUUCUGUCCUCUCACUGCCUGCUAACCAGGGCGCCAUCACUCGGUAGGGACUGCGGGAGAUAUUAGGCUAAUAUUACACUUAUCUGGGGUCUUUGUGUGCAUGCAAAAGCCAGUCAUUUAUUUACCUGGCAUGCAAAGCGGGCACCCUGCUCUGCCAGCUGUAUCUCUGGGGAUGGCGUUUGACCUGUAGCAGCCCCACUCUAGAUGCUGUCCCGUACGGAGACGGGCGCUGAGCGUGCCAGCUGAGCCUGCUGCGUUUUGGAGACGACCGUUAAUGCACCUGUUUGAAGCGGACGCCAGUGCCGUGCCUCCAAACGGAGGGGGAACGAAAAGCUGGUCUGCGUGAGGUCGGAGCGCAGCGGCGGUCACCCUCGCCCAGCUCCGUUUUUAUGGAUCGUUUGAGCCGGCGAUUAUUCUUCCAACCUGUCGCCAAAGGGACUGAGUGGCAGCAAGAAAAAUGAGGGACUUUCAGGGGCAGCUGUGUUUUACUAACCCAGUCAUAAUGCCCCUAAAAAUCCUUAUUGUUCUUGCAAUGUUCAACUAACCUGCAGUGCCAGGAAGCCCGGGGGGGUAAGUAUCAGCUCUGCGCAGCCGGAGGGCUUGUCGUGUUGCAGGGAUGUUUGCAAACUGGUAACUUGUUUGUAGGGGCCAGGGCUGCUUUUCUUUCCCCCCGCAAAAGCAAAUCGGGACAGGAACAGCUGUCAUGAGGUCUCUGAUGGACAGUGUCUCCUUUAUGCUCCGAUCCCAAGCAACGCUAAUAUUGUAUGGAGGAAACAAAACUGAAACUGAGCUAUUUUAUUCUCUUGGCUGAUUCACUGGAGUGAAAUGCCAAAAGCAAACAGACGGUGUAAAGGAGUAAGAAUGUAUUCACACCUACCCCCACGUACUCACACCCCCAUGCACACCCACGUACUGCCCCCCUCCCCCCCCACACACACACACCCACACACGCAUCCCCGCACAAGAUUUUUUUAUAACUACCAGCAAUCUUGUUUGCAGGACAUACGGCAAAGCACGUGUGCAGGUACCAGAGGGACCAGAGCCUCGGGUGGUGCAAACCUGCCAGCAGCAGAGGCGCAGUGGUUAAUACCUGCUGGGAUUCUGGCAUGUAAAUGUUUACAGCUUUUUCUUAAUUAAAAUAUUCCUGUACACCCAGUUUGCUGGCAGAUUUCAAAGCCCAGCCCUGCAGACACUCAUGCUUAGAAGUCUUUACGGGAUUUCAAGCGACUAUGCCACACUGUAGCUGUAGAUCAUUAGCAUUAAACACAAACUAUUCGUAGCACAUAAUAUUGCUGGUAUCUUAUACAAGUGAGCAUUCACACACAUGCAGAUCUCCUUCCAUUGCUCUCUUCUCAGGGGCUUCAUCUCUAAAACCUUCACUUAACUCUUUAGCUGGGAGGAACCAGCAGUCAACACCUUUGUGAAGGCGUCACUGUCCCCUGGCUUUUCUCCCAAGCAAAGGGCCUGAGGAGCAGCAGCUGCAAACGGAGCUGAAAGGAAACAGCUGAAGGUGCAGCCUGUGUAGGAAAAGUGGAGGAAGAGGAUGACUGUUAAUUGGAAAUUAGCUCUAGAUGCAGAUUUGCAAGGCAACCCAGAUCCAAGUCCCAGGAUCUUCAGCAGGGCGUUUUAGGACUCGCCCUGCACCACUGAAGUCCCUGGAAGUUUUGGUCUAGGCAUAAAGGAGCCGGGAUUGGAAGAAACGGGGUGACAGUGAAGUCCCGGACCCCAUGCAGAUGGGGUUCCCUGAAUAUUUACUGGCUCGUUUGCUUGUCUCCCAGCAUUGCUAACCUGACCCCUCCCAUGAUCCAGCCCUAAGGAGAGAUUGUGUCCUCUGCUACCUUGAACUCUAACCUCUUUUAUCCCCUCUAAUGACCUGCAGGGCCCUGCUGCUAUGAACCUCUUGACUGUCUGGCCUGGAGACUGUACUGGACAGUCGGUAGUCACCCGAGAUGAAGAUAGCAACAGCAGAGGAAGGCACUGCUGAUGGGAGUGUGCACUGGUCACAGGUGUGAAGGUAGCCAGUUUGAGAAUAAAGGCUACGAUGUCUGAGUGAGCGAUAAGUGUAGUAACCUCACCCGGGCUUUCCCGUUCGGAUGCCAGCCACGCUGACCGUGUUGUAGUGAUGCUUCUCUGUAGUCAGGAGAGCUCGAGUGAGUAUUUAAUUCUGUUGCCGGGAGAAGGAUUUAAAAAUAUAUUGGUAGUCCUACCAGACUUGCAGAUCAGGGGGCCACCGUAUCCUGAAUCCUGUCUCUGCAGGCAGCCAGCGCCAAAGGACUGGGGGGAAGGGGCAUAAAACCUUCUCGUGGGCAAUUCUGGGAUUACCAGCACGAGUUCGUUUCCACCUCCACCUCCAGCUAGUUAGGAGUGAGCUUCUCUCGAGCCCAGAGUGCUUUACGUCCCAUUGUAUGUCUUGCCUUAACCUGACUCUGGUCAUUUUUAUUUCCCAUAUAACUACCUGCUGCUUCUCCAAGUCCUGCUAAACUCUUGGCCGUGGUGACAUCCUGCAGCCAGGAGUUCCACGAGUUCAUUACAUAAAAGGU